rnacentral:rRNA from 1 species
GACGAACGCUGGCGGCGUGCCUAAUACAUGCAAGUCGAACGCAGUGGGGACGGGUGAGUAACACGUGGGUAACCUCCCAUCAGAGGGGAUAACACUUGGCAACAGGUGCUAAACCGAUACUGAUGGAUGGACCCGGGGUGCAUUAGCUUGUGGGUGAGGUAACGGCUAACCAAGUCCACGAUGCAUAGCCGACCGGAGAGGUUGAUCGGCCAAACUGGGACGGAGACACGGCCCAGACGGCUACGGGAGGGAGCAGGAGGGAAUCUUCGGCAAUGGACGAAAGUCUGACCGAGCAACGCAGCGUGAGUGAAGAAGGUUUUCGGAUCGUAAAGCUCUGUUGUUAGAGAAGCGGUAUCUAACCAGAAAGCAACGGCUAACUACGUGCCAGCAGCCGCGGUAAUUC